UAUCUGAACCUUCGGGGAACGAUAACGGCGUCGAGCGGCGGACGGGUGAGUAAUGCCUAGGAAAUUGCCCUGAUGUGGGGGAUAACCAUUGGAAACGAUGGCUAAUACCGCAUGAUGCCUACGGGCCAAAGAGGGGGACCUUCGGGCCUCUCGCGUCAGGAUAUGCCUAGGUGGGAUUAGCUAGUUGGUGAGGUAAGGGCUCACCAAGGCGACGAUCCCUAGCUGGUCUGAGAGGAUGAUCAGCCACACUGGAACUGAGACACGGUCCAGACUCCUACGGGAGGCAGCAGUGGGGAAUAUUGCACAAUGGGCGCAAGCCUGAUGCAGCCAUGCCGCGUGUAUGAAGAAGGCCUUCGGGUUGUAAAGUACUUUCAGUCGUGAGGAAGGCGGCGUCGUUAAUAGCGGCGUUGUUUGACGUUAGCGACAGAAGAAGCACCGGCUAACUCCGUGCCAGCAGCCGCGGUAAUACGGAGGGUGCGAGCGUUAAUCGGAAUUACUGGGCGUAAAGCGCAUGCAGGUGGUUUGUUAAGUCAGAUGUGAAAGCCCGGGGCUCAACCUCGGAAUAGCAUUUGAAACUGGCAGACUAGAGUACUGUAGAGGGGGGUAGAAUUUCAGGUGUAGCGGUGAAAUGCGUAGAGA
rnacentral:rRNA from 1 species